GUGGGGAAUAUUGCGCAAUGGGGGAAACCCUGACGCAGCAAUACCGCGUGAGUGAAGAAGGUUUUCGGAUCGUAAAACUCUUUUAUUGGGGAAGAAGAAGUGACGGUACCCAAUGAAGAAGUCCCGGCUAACUACGUGCCAGCAGCCGCGGUAAUACGUAGGGGACAAGCGUUGUCCGGAAUCACUGGGCGUAAAGGGCGCGUAGGCGGUUUUAUAAGUAAGAUGUGAAAGGUACCGGCUCAACCGGUGACGUGCAUUGGAAACUGUAAGACUUGAGUACUGGAGAGGCAAGUGGAAUUCCUAGUGUAGCGGUGAAAUGCGUAGAUAUUAGGAGGAACACCGGUGGCGAAGGCGGCUUGCUGGACAGAUACUGACGCUGAGGUGCGAAAGCGUGGGGAGCGAACAGGAUUAGAAACCCUGGUAGUCC
rnacentral:rRNA from 1 species